GGGUCUAAUACUGGAUAUGACCUUUCUCCUUAUGGGGUUUGGUGGAAAGUUUUUCGGUGUAGGAUGAGCCCGCGGCCUAUCAGCUUGUUGGUGGGGUGAUGGCCUACCAAGGCGACGACGGGUAGCCGGCCUGAGAGGGUGAUCGGCCACAUUGGGACUGAGAUACGGCCCAGACUCCUACGAGAGGCAGCAGUGGGGAAUAUUGCACAAUGGGCGGAAGCCUGAUGCAGCGACGCCGCGUGAGGGAUGACGGGCUUCGGGUUGUAAACCUCUUUCAGCAGGGACGAAGCGUAAGUGACGGUACCUGCAGAAGAAGCACCGGCUAACUACGUGCCAGCAGCCGCGGUAAUACGUAGGGUGCGAGCGUUGUCCGGAAUUACUGGGCGUAAAGAGCUCGUAGGCGGUUUGUCACGUCGUCUGUGAAAUCCUAGGGCUUAACCCUGGACGUGCAGGCGAUACGGGCUGACUUGAGUACUACAGGGGAGACUGGAAUUUCUGGUGUAGCGGUGGAAUGCACAGAUAUCAUGAAGAACACCGAUGGCGAAGGCAGGUCUCUGGGUAGUAACUGACGCUGAGGAGCGAAAGCAUGGGUAGCGAACAGGAUUAGAUACCCUGGUAGUCCAUGCCGUAAAACGGUGGGCGCUAGGUGUGGGGUUCCU
rnacentral:rRNA from 1 species